GAUGAACGCUGGCGGCGUGCCUAAUGCAUGCAAGUCGAGCGAACGGACGAGAAGCUUGCUUCUCUGAUGUUAGCGGCGGACGGGUGAGUAACACGUGGAUAACCUACCUAUAAGACUGGGAUAACUUCGGGAAACCGGAGCUAAUACCGGAUAAUAUUUUGAACCGCAUGGUUCAAAAGUGAAAGACGGUCUUGCUGUCACUUAUAGAUGGAUCCGCGCUGCAUUAGCUAGUUGGUAAGGUAACGGCUUACCAAGGCAACGAUGCAUAGCCGACCUGAGAGGGUGAUCGGCCACACUGGAGCUGAGACGCGGUCCAGACUCCUACGGGAGGCAGCAGUAGGGAAUCUUCCGCAAUGGGCGAAAGCCUGACGGAGCAACGCCGCGUGAGUGAUGAAGGUCUUCGGAUCGUAAAACUCUGUUAUUAGGGAAGAACAUAUGUGUAAGUAACUGUGCACAUCUUGACGGUACCUAAUCAGAAAGCCACGGCUAACUACGUG
rnacentral:rRNA from 1 species